rnacentral:misc_RNA from 1 species
CCAAUAGCGUAUAUUAAAGUUGUUGCAGUUAAAAAGCUCGUAGUUGAAUUUCGGGAUCAAGUCGUCGGUCGUGCCUCGGUACGCACUGGUGACAUUGGUUUCUCCCUUCUGAAGAACCUUGAUGUCAUUAAUUUGGUGUCUUGGGGAAUCAGGACGGUUACUUUGAAAAAAUUAGAGUGUUUAAAGCAGGCUCACGCUUGAAUACAUUAGCAUGGAAUAAUGAAAUAGGACGUUUGAUUCUAUUUUGUUGGUUUCUAGGAUCGACGUAAUGAUUAAUAGGGAUAGUUGGGGGCAUUAGUAUUCAAUUGUCAGAGGUGAAAUUCUUGUAUUUAUUGAAGACUAACUACUGCGAAAGCAUUUGCCAAGGAUGUUUUCAUUAAUCAAGAACGAAAGUUAGGGGAUCGAAGACGAUCAGAUACCGUCGUAGUCUUAACCAUAAACUAUGCCGACUAGGGAUCGGAUGAUGUUAAUUUUUUAAUGACUCAUUCGGCGCCUUACG